AACGAACGCUGGCGGCGUGCUUAACACAUGCAAGUCGAACGGAAAGGCCCUGCUUUUGUGGGGUGCUCGAGUGGCGAACGGGUGAGUAACACGUGAGUAACCUGCCCUUGACUUUGGGAUAACUUCAGGAAACUGGGGCUAAUACCGGAUAGGAGCUCCUGCUGCAUGGUGGGGGUGGGAAAGUUUCGGCGGUUGGGGACGGACUCGCGGCUUAUCAGCUUGUUGGUGGGGUAGUGGCUUACCAAGGCUUUGACGGGUAGCCGGCCUGAGAGGGUGACCGGCCACAUUGGGACUGAGAUACGGCCCAGACUCCUACGGGAGGCAGCAGUGGGGAAUAUUGCACAAUGGGCGGAAGCCUGAUGCAGCAACGCCGCGUGCGGGAUGACGGCCUUCGGGUUGUAAACCGCUUUCGCCUGUGACGAAGCGUGAGUGACGGUAAUGGGUAAAGAAGCACCGGCUAACUACGUGCCAGCCGCCGCAGUAAUAC
rnacentral:rRNA from 1 species